UCUACCCUGGACAAUGUCUCACCAACAUCCCUAACCCACUCCCCCUGCCUCCCAACCCUCCCUCACCCCGACUCACUCAGACUCCCCCAAAUUCAUCCCAUUGUCAGCCUCUCGUCCUCCUCCCACUUCCUCUCCUUCUUCUCCUCUCCCCAUCACCCCAAAAUCAUCCGUUCAUUCACCCACUGCCACCACCUCCACCCCAUCUCCCUCUACCUCUACCCCAUCCACCUCUCCUGCCCCCCGCCGUUGGGGCUUUGCGGACCCCUCCACCUCUCUAGCCUCCUCGUCCUCUCCUGCCCCCCGACGUCGGGGCUUUGCUGAUCUGGCUAAACGUGUGUUGAUGCAGGAAAGACUGAAGAAAGCUGAGCUGGAGGAGGCUGAAGCGGGUGAGGAAGAUGAGGAUCCUGAGGAGGACUUGUCGUUUGAGGAGAUGGAGGAGAAGGCCACGUCUGGAGAUGCCAGAGCACAGACCAGUCUGGGCAGAUACUACCUGGGGUUGGCUGAGGAGAAGGAGGCGGAGCUUA